GGAAAGAUGAAAAGAACUUUGAAAAGAGAGUUAAACAGUACGUGAAAUUGUUGAAAGGGAAACGAUUGAAGUCAGUCAUACCAACGGGAAAUCAACCUUUUGAGCUUUGUCUCGUGGGUUCGAAGAGUUUAAACGCCUUCGGGUUCGCGAGAUUGGGAUCUUCUGGUGUACUUUCUCGUACGGUUAGUCAACAUCGGUUUUGAAUGUCAUAAAAUGACUGGAGGAAUGUGGCUUCGAUCUCGUAUCGAAGUGUUAUAGCCUUUGGUAGUUGUGAUGUUUGAGACCGAGGAUCGUAACGGAUACCCUUUAAGGGCUAUUCGUCUGAUCUCCGAUACGUUGCCUUGACGUUGAAAGCUUGCUUAUGAUGUUAGGGUAUUACGGUCAAAAGGUUAGAACGGAUUAAAUUCGUUAAGGAUGUUGACGUAAUGACUUUAAACGACCCGUCUUGAAACACGGACCA
rnacentral:rRNA from 2 species